GAUGAACGCUGGCGGCGUGCUUAACACAUGCAAGUCGAACGAGAAAUGGAGACGGACACCUUCGGGCGGAAGGCUUCAUUUCGAGUGGCGGACGGGGGAGUAACGCGUGGGUAACCUGCCUCAUACAGGGGGAUAACAGUUGGAAACGACUGUUAAUACCGCAUAAGACCACAGCACCGCAUGGUGCGGGGGUAAAAACUCCGGUGGUAUGAGAUGGACCCGCGUUCGAUUAGCCAGUUGGCGGGGUAACGGCCCACCAAAGCGACGAUCGAUAGCCGAUCUGAGAGGAUGACCGGCGACAUUGGGAGUGAGACACGGCCCAAACUCCUACGGGAGGCAGCAGUGGGGGAUAUUGCACAAUGGGGGAAACCCUGAUGCAGCGACGCCGCGUGAGUGAAGAAGUACUUCGGUAUGUAAAGCUCUAUCAGCAGGGAAGAAAAUGACGGUACCUGAGUAAGAAGCCCCGGCUAACUACGUG
rnacentral:rRNA from 1 species